GACGAACGCUGGCGGCGUGCUUAACACAUGCAAGUCGAACGGAAAGGCCCUGCUUUUGUGGGGCGCUCGAGUGGCGAACGGGUGAGUAACACGUGAGUAACCUGCCCUUGACUUUGGGAUAACUUCAGGAAACUGGGGCUAAUACCGGAUAGGAGCUCCUGCUGCAUGGUGGGGGUUGGAAAGUUUCGGCGGUUGGGGAUGGACUCGCGGCUUAUCAGCUUGUUGGUGGGGUAGUGGCUUACCAAGGCUUUGACGGGUAGCCGGCCUGAGAGGGUGACCGGCCACAUUGGGACUGAGAUACGGCCCAGACUCCUACGGGAGGCAGCAGUGGGGAAUAUUGCACAAUGGGCGGAAGCCUGAUGCAGCAACGCCACGUGCGGGAUGACGGCCUUCGGGUUGUAAACCGCUUUCGCCUGUGACGAAGCGUGAGUGACGGUAAUGGGUAAAGAAGCACCGGCUAACUACGUG
rnacentral:rRNA from 1 species